rnacentral:rRNA from 1 species
AAUGAACGCUGGCGGCGUGGUUUAGGCAUGCAAGUCGCACGGGCAGUAGCAAUAUUGCUAGUGGCGACCUGGUCAGUACAAGUUGGGUUACGUGCCUGGAAGUGGGGGAUAACUCCGAGAAAUCGGGGCUAAUACCGCAUGUGGAGGAAACUCCAAAGCAGCAAUGCGCUUCCGGAUCGGCCCGACUCCCAUUAGCUAGUUGGCGAGGUAAAGGCUCACCAAGGCUACGAUGGGUAGGUGGUGUGAGAGCAUGGACGCCGACACGAGGACUGAGAUACGGCCUCGACUCCUACGGGGGGGCAGCAGUCUAGAAGCUUCGAACAAGUGGGACGAAAGCCUGAUCGAGCGACGCCGCGU